CCUGUGUAAAUCGAUCUAGCUAGCUAAGAAAAAGUAGUUUUGAGCUUCUAACCCAUGACAAAUCAUUUGCAUGGUCGGCCGAUAUUUUGGAUCUUUGAUCAAGCAUCCAACUGAGAGAUUCAGUAUUUGAGCAAGUUCAUCCAGAAUUUCUAGCGACGGUGAUGGAAGGCGUUGAUCCAUAAUAUCUUCGAGUAGGAUCUUCUCAGGCGAGUAUAUGAUUUCUCCUUGAUGCUUUCCUCCUAUCACUUCCAAUGCUAACACCCCAAAGCUAUACACAUCACAUUUCUCAGUUAC
rnacentral:misc_RNA from 1 species